rnacentral:rRNA from 1 species
CAGCCGCCGCGGUAAUACGGAGGGUGCAAGCGUUAAUCGGAAUUACUGGGCGUAAAGCGUGCGUAGGCGGUUCGUUAAGUCUGUUGUGAAAGCCCCGGGCUCAACCUGGGAAUGGCAAUGGAUACUGGCGAGCUAGAGUGUGUCAGAGGAUGGUGGAAUUCCCGGUGUAGCGGUGAAAUGCGUAGAGAUCGGGAGGAACAUCAGUGGCGAAGGCGGCCAUCUGGGACAACACUGACGCUGAGGCACGAAAGCGUGGGGAGCAAACAGGAUUAGAUACCCCUGUAGUCCCUGUCUCUUAUAC